CCCUUUGCUUUAAAAGAAAUGAAAACUUUUCUUCAGCGAAAAUAUCAGAAAAGUGAGGACUAAAUCUGGAGGUUUUCUUCCGGCGGUGAUAGUUUAUUUAUGUGAAAGCCGCAAUUUAUCAUGUGGAAAACUGCAAGUUGAGUUGGCCUGGAGUUGGGCUGUAUCAAAAUCAACCAAAUAAACAUCUGCAUUGCUGUCAAAUAUGAAUGAUUUCCCAGUUUCCUGUUCCCAAGGCACUCAUCAUCAGUUGUCUGCCACAUUCAGCAUAAUGUCAACGUUGAAAUUCCAGAUCCCUGCAUUGCGCAGUCAGGAAGGAUGUUGAUAAACUGGAAAGUGUCCAAAGAAGAACAACCUGGAAAGAAAAAUUUAUGAGGAACAGUUGAAGCUGUUGGAUAUAUUUAGCUUGGAAAAGAUUGUGGAGUCAUGGUAGCUGUCUUCAAGAAGAUAAGGCCAAGUUAAGAUAACCAUCUGUUCAGGUUCCCUGUACAAAACAAAAGCUUUUGAUAAAGGUACGUAAUAUAUCUCUUUCAAUGUUUGCUUUAUUUCUUGGUUCUGAAGAGUCUUCUAGAGAAAUUAAAGUCAAUAUUACUUUUUGCAAGUGAUAGCAGUAGCUACAAAAACAGACAGGAGAGGUUAUUGAUUGUUCAGGAUAUUCAGACCAUUCUUUAUAUUCUGUCUUUUGGAACAAGAAAAGUGUUUUUCCAAGCCAGGCAGAACACUACUUUAGACUGACAACCAAUAAUGGUGAAGAACAUUAUUUGGUAUAUACAGCAACAUUGUACGUCAUUAUGACAUACAGUAUAUGCUCAAAAAGACUAAUAUGUCAACAAAAAGAAAAAAAAUCCAAUUCUAUUUUUAUUAUUUGUAUUAAAUUUCUAAACUUUUAUUUUAGGGAUUAAUAUACAGAUAUUUGUUGGAAAACUAAACAGAUUGAUAUUGUGCUUUCAAAGGAUUGCAUAAAAAUGUUUCCUACAAAGGACCCCUUUUCUGAUUAUGGCAGAUUUGUAUUUCUCUCUGGCCUAUCUGCAGUAGAGAGAAAAAAAUACAAUCCUGUCUCUGGUGCUAAAAGUGAAUGUAAGAAAGCAGAAAACUUCAAACCAAACAAGCUUUACAAAGGUGGUAUUGUGGGCUAAGCCAAAUGAAUAAAACAUUUUUCAAGCAUGUCAAUAGAUCAUAUUCUUCCAAUAUGUCGGAUUUGAUCACAGCUCAGCAGUAAUCCUCAAUGCAUAAGCAAGAAAAACAAUUGGGGAACAAAGAAAAUGAAGCCAAAAGAAGUAUCUAAAGAUGUUCAGAUGUGUUUAUCUCUCCUUAUCUGGUUCUCUUUGGGUAUACGAGACAUGAAUUUUCACAUGAACAAUUUGCAAGGAAACAACUUCAGAUUGUGUUUUUAUGGAAACUUUUGUCACAAAACAGUAAAAUGUGGAAAGCCAGCCAGAUUAUUUUGUGCUACACAAUUCAGUGGGACGGUUUUUGGCAUGGAGUGAAAACUCUUAAUAGGGAUUCAUAAUGCAUUUUCAUAUUUAUUUCAGCUUCUUAUAGGAAUCAUCUUAUAAACUUCCAAAAUCCUAGACACUUUUACAAUGUAAGUGAAACUUUGGAAUCCAAAUCAGACAUCCCACUUAAAAUUUAUCUUAUAAUAUGAUGAACAUUUGGGAUCUUGAAUAGUUUUUUCUUAAGUAUUGUUAAGGAACACUUUUUAUUUUGAACAAAUAGUCUUUUUUUGUGAUCCUUGUUCUCAUGAUACAUAUACACUUUCUCAAUCAAAACACUUUUGCCACUCCACCAUAUUUCAUGUCCUAUAAAAAUAUUAACUUUUUCUACAUUACGCAACUGCUUGGUAAAAUAUGUAUUUACAUUCUGAAAUAUCUUUUCAGCACUUCCUUGUAUCCUUACAUAAGCAAUGACAAUACUUUAACAAUAUGAAAACAGGACAUCUUGCAGUUUCAGAAAAUUGUUAUUUGGGAUAGAAAUGCAGACAGUUUGUGUCCUUUAGUGAAGAUUUAAUAUUAUUCAGAAUUAUGCUUUAAAAAUAUUAUAUGGGUAGUCUUCAACUUAUGACCAUAACUGGACCUGACAAUUACAUUUUUUUGCAACAGACUUUAAGUGAAUCCAUUGUUUGCCCUGUGGCAUUUUUGCUGGAAAUCAGAAGUAUAUCUUAGUUUUGAGCAAAAACAUCAAAAAUUACAGUCAUGUGACCAUGGGAUGCUGCAAACAGCCAUAAAUGUAUGCUGGUUGCCAGAUGCCCAAAAUACAGUCAUGUGACUAGGGGGGUGGCCAUUGGAAUUUUGGAUCCAGGUCAUAAAUAUCUUUUGGGCAUUGUAUCUUCAAACAGUCACUAAGUGAUCAGUCAUAAGUUGUGGACUACCUAUAGAUGAUAUUAAAGUUUUUAAAAAAGUAGUACAAAGAAAAUCACAAGUAUGGGCUCAUUCUGAAGGCAAGAUACUCUUUGGGGACAGGCUAUAUGUUGCAUAUUAGUGAAACAUAAGUGAGGGAAAAUGUCCUUGUAUUGAGAACGUUUUAAUAAUAUUUCCUAGUUUAUGCUGGAUUUCAGCUACAAGUUCAUACCAGUAGUAUAGCUCUGCUAAUCAUGAAACUAUCAGUGGAACAGCUUACUCCCAGAAAUCGUGGGCGCUCCAUCGCUGGAAAGAGACUGGACAAUCACCUGAGAUGGUAUAGGUCCUCCUGCUUGAGCAGGGGGCUGGACUAGAAGACCUCCAAGGUCCUUCCAGCUUCUAUUCUACUCUACUCUACUCUACUCUACUCUACUCUACAGUAUCUGACCUCUGUAGUAUUUCUAUCUUAGCUACAAACAUUACUUUUACAGAGUAGAGGUUAUUUUAUACAACCACUAGCACUCAUUUGAAAGUGGCCUCAGAAAAAUUGCUAAUUGUGUUGUGGAGAAGAGUUGAUACUAUCUUGCACAUAGCUUGCAUCAUGAAUGACUUUAUUCACAAUUCUCAAGGUUCCCAGUGAUAGGGAUAGAGAGAUAUAAACAAAAACGUUAGAUAUACACGCUGUUCCCAAGCUAUAUAACAUAUACCAUAAGGUCAGUUGUGACUGUGUUUAUAUUAUAUGCUGAUUUGCAAUCUAGUCAACCAUACUUUAGAUAAGAAUGUUUCUUAGCCUUAGCAAUUUUAAGAUGUGUGGACUUCGCCUCCCAGAAUUCCCCAGUUAGCAUUACUGGCUGGGAAAUUUGGGGAGUUGAAGUCCACACUUCUUAAAAUUGCCAAGGUUGAGAAAUACUGCCCUAGAAUUAAAUCCAAUUGGCAAAUGUGCAAAGAAUUUAUAGCUGUAUCCCAAGAAACCCCAAAAUUGCACUAAGUAAAUUAUAGCUUAGUUAACCCCAGGCAAGCAUGUGCAAUCAAGGUAGGCUGCCACCAAUUUUUCUCCUCCUUUCUGGAAGAAAAGAAUUGGAAUUAGAAUAACAGUUGGAAGGG